AUUGAACGCUGGCGGCAGGCCUAACACAUGCAAGUCGAGCGGAUGAAGGGAGCUUGCUCCUGGAUUCAGCGGCGGACGGGUGAGUAAUGCCUAGGAAUCUGCCUGGUAGUGGGGGAUAACGUCCGGAAACGGGCGCUAAUACCGCAUACGUCCUGAGGGAGAAAGUGGGGGAUCUUCGGACCUCACGCUAUCAGAUGAGCCUAGGUCGGAUUAGCUAGUUGGUGGGGUAAAGGCCUACCAAGGCGACGAUCCGUAACUGGUCUGAGAGGAUGAUCAGUCACACUGGAACUGAGACAAGGUCCAGAAUCCUACGGGAGGCAGCAGUGGGGAAUAUUGGACAAUGGGCGAAAGCCUGAUCCAGCCAUGCCGCGUGUGUGAAGAAGGUCUUCGGAUUGUAAAGCACUUUAAGUUGGGAGGAAGGGCAGUAAGUUAAUACCUUGCUGUUUUGACGUUACCAACAGAAUAAGCACCGGCUAACUUCGUG
rnacentral:rRNA from 1 species